UACGAAGGGGGCUAGCGUUGCUCGGAAUGACUGGGCGUAAAGGGCGCGUAGGCGGGUUGCACAGUCGGGCGUGAAAUUCCUGGGCUUAACCUGGGGGCUGCGUUCGAGACGUGUGAUCUUGAGUGGGGAAGAGGGUCGUGGAAUUCCCAGUGUAGAGGUGAAAUUCGUAGAUAUUGGGAAGAACACCGGUGGCGAAGGCGGCGACCUGGUCCUUGACUGACGCUGAGGCGCGAAAGCGUGGGGAGCAAACAGG
rnacentral:rRNA from 1 species